rnacentral:tRNA from 1 species
GGUUAUUUAGUUUAAAAAAAACAAAUGUUUUGAAAACAUUAAAUAAAUAUACAUAUAUUUUAAUAACCG